rnacentral:rRNA from 1 species
CCUACGGGUGGCAGCAGUGAGGAAUCUUGGUCAAUGGGCUUACGCCUGAACCAGCCAAGUCGCGUGAGGGAAGACUGCCCUAUGGUUUGUAAACCUCUUUUGUCAGGGAGCAACGCCGGCUACGUGUAGCCGGACUGAGAGUACCUGAAGAAAAAGCAUCGGCUAGCUCCGUGCCAGCAGCCAGGGUAAUACGGAGGAUGCGAGCGUUAGCCGGAUUUAUUGGGUUUAAAGGAGGCGUAGGCGUAAUGCACAGUAAGCGGUAAAAUCGCGGGGCAAAACCUCGCUCCGCCGGUGAAACUGGCGUUCUUGAGUGGGCGAGAAGUAAGUGGAAUGCGUGGUGUAGCGGUGAAAUGCAUAGAUAUAACGCAGAACUCCGAUGGCGAAGGCAGCAUACCGGCGCCCAACUGACGCUGAAGCACGAAAGCGUGGGUAUCGAACAGGAUUAGAUACCCCUGUAGUC